rnacentral:misc_RNA from 1 species
AAGUCGUAACAAGGUUUCCGUAGGUGAACCUGCGGAAGGAUCAUUAAUGAAUUCUGAGUAGGCUCUGCCUCUCACCCUUCAUAUCCAUAAACACCUGUGCACAGUCGGACCCUUGAGUCUUUCGGGACUCCUGGUGUCUUGACGAUCUUAUCAAACAACAAUGUAACCAAUGUAAUCAUUAUUAUAACAUAAUAAAACUUUUAACAACGGAUCUCUUGGCUCUC